rnacentral:rRNA from 1 species
AGUGAACGCUGGCGGUAGGCCUAACACAUGCAAGUCGAACGGCAGCACAGUAGAGCUUGCUCUCUGGGUGGCGAGUGGCGGACGGGUGAGGAAUACAUCGGAAUCUGCCCAUUCGUGGGGGAUAACGGAGGGAAACUUACGCUAAUACCGCAUACGACCUUCGGGGGAAAGAGGGGGAUCGCAAGACCUCUCGCGAUUGGAUGAGCCGAUGUCGGAUUAGCUAGUUGGCGGGGUAAUGGCCCACCAAGGCGACGAUCCGUAGCUGGUCUGAGAGGAUGAUCAGCCACACUGGAACUGAGACACGGUCCAGACUCCUACGGGAGGCAGCAGUGGGGAAUAUUGGACAAUGGGCGCAAGCCUGAUCCAGCCAUACCGCGUGGGUGAAGAAGGCCUUCGGGUUGUAAAGCCCUUUUGUUGGGAAAGAAAUCUUUCAGGCUAAUACCCUGGGAGGAUGACGGUACCCAAAGAAUAAGCACCGGCUAACUUCGUG